rnacentral:rRNA from 1 species
CGGAACGUGCCCAGUAGCGGGGGAUAACUACGCGAAAGCGUAGCUAAUACCGCAUACGCCCUUCGGGGGAAAGCAGGGGAUCGCAAGACCUUGCACUAUUGGAGCGGCCGAUAUCGGAUUAGCUAGUUGGUGAGGUAAUGGCUCACCAAGGCCGCGAUCCGUAGUUGGUUUGAGAGGACGACCAGCCACACUGGGACUGAGACACGGCCCAGACUCCUACGGGAGGCAGCAGUGGGGAAUUUUGGACAAUGGGGGAAACCCUGAUCCAGCCAUCCCGCGUGUGCGAUGAAGGCCUUCGGGUUGUAAAGCACUUUUGGCAGGAAAGAAACGGCGCGUGCUAAUACCAUGCGCAACUGACGGUACCUGCAGAAUAAGCACCGGCUAACUACGUGCCAGCAGCCGCGGUAAUACGUAGGGUGCAAGCGUUAAUCGGAAUUACUGGGCGUAAAGCGUGCGCAGGCGGUUCGGAAAGAAAGAUGUGAAAUCCCAGGGCUCAACCUUGGAACUGCAUUUUUAACUACCGGACUAGAGUAUGUCAGAGGGAGGUGGAAUUCCACGU